rnacentral:rRNA from 1 species
GACGAACGCUGGCGGCGUGCCUAAUACAUGCCAGUCGAACGCACAGUUUAUACCGUAGCUUGCUACACCAUAGACUGUGAGUUGCGAACGGGUGAGUAACGCGUAGGUAACCUGCCUGGUAGCGGGGGAUAACUAUUGGAAACGAUAGCUAAUACCGCAUAAUAUUGAUUAUUGCAUGAUAAUUGAUUGAAAGAUGCUAUUGCAUCACUACCAGAUGGACCUGCGUUGUAUUAGCUAGUAGGUGAGGUAACGGCUCACCUAGGCGACGAUACAUAGCCGACCUGAGAGGGUGAUCGGCCACACUGGGACUGAGACACGGCCCAGACUCCUACGGGAGGCAGCAGUAGGGAAUCUUCGGCAAUGGACGAAAGUCUGACCGAGCAACGCCGCGUGAGUGAAGAAGGGUUUCGGAUCGUAAAGCUCUGUUGUAAGAGAAGAACGGGUGUGAGAGUGGAAAGUUCACACUGCGACGGUAGCUUACCAGAAAGGGACGGCUAACUACGUG